rnacentral:rRNA from 1 species
CCCUAGUAACGGCGAGUGAAGCGGCAACAGCUCAAAUUUGAAAUCUGGCGUCUUUGGCGUCCGAGUUGUAAUUUGCAGAGGGCGCUUUGGCAUUGGCAGCGGUCCAAGUUCCUUGGAACAGGACGUCACAGAGGGUGAGAAUCCCGUACGUGGUCGCUAGCCUUUACCGUGUAAAGCCCCUUCGACGAGUCGAGUUGUUUGGGAAUGCAGCUCUAAAUGGGAGGUAAAUUUCUUCUAAAGCUAAAUACUGGCCAGAGACCGAUAGCGCACAAGUAGAGUGAUCGAAAGAUGAAAAGCACUUUGGAAAGAGAGUUAAAAAGCACGUGAAAUUGUUGAAAGGGAAGCGCUUGCAGCCAGACUUGCCUGUAGUUGCUCAUCCGGGUUUCUACCCGGUGCACUCUUCUAUAGGCAGGCCAGCAUCAGUUUGGGCGGUUGGAUAAAGGUCUCUGUCAUGUACCUCCUUUCGGGGAGAACUUAUAGGGGAGACGACAUGCAACCAGCCUGGACUGAGGUCCGCGCAUCUGCUAGGAUGCUGGCGUAAUGGCUGUAAGCGGCCCGUCUUGAAACACGGACCAAGGAGUCUAACAUCUAUGCGAGUGUUUGGGUGUCAAGCCCGAGCGCGUAAUGAAAGUGAACGGAGGUGGGAACCUUUCGGGGUGCACCAUCGACCGAUCCUGAUGUCUUCGGAUGGAUUUGAGUAAGAGCAUAGCUGUUGGGACCCGAAAGAUGGUGAACUAUGCUUGAAUAGGGUGAAGCCAGAGGAAACUCUGGUGGAGGCUCGCAGCGGUUCUGACGUGCAAAUCGAUCGUCAAA